AUAGGUAAUUUUACUCGCAUUAAUGCAUUGAACUCCAUAAGAGCAAGAUCCAUAGUUAAAAGCACUUGGGAUAGAGUAGUACUCGGAUGGGUGACCUCCGAGGAAGUCUGAAUGUUGCACUCU
rfam:Picea glauca, whole genome shotgun sequence.